rnacentral:rRNA from 1 species
CACGUAGGGCGCGAGCGUUGUCCGGAAUUAUUGGGCGUAAAGAGCUCGUAGGCGGCCUGUUGCGUCCGCUGUGAAAGCCCGGGGCUUAACCCCGGGUCGCAGUGGAUACGGGCAGGCUAGAGGUAGGUAGGGGAGAAUGGAAUUCCCGGUGUAGCGGUGAAAUGCGCAGAUAUCGGGAGGAACACCGGUGGCGAAGGCGGUUCUCUGGGCCUUACCUGACACUGAGGAGCGAAAGCGUGGGGAGCGAACAGG